rnacentral:rRNA from 1 species
ACGGCGUCUAAUACUGGAUAUGAGCUCUCAUCGCAUGGUGGGGGUUGGAAAGAUUUUUCGGUUUGGGAUGGGCUCGCGGCCUAUCAGCUUGUUGGUGAGGUAAUGGCUCACCAAGGCGUCGACGGGUAGCCGGCCUGAGAGGGUGACCGGCCACACUGGGACUGAGACACGGCCCAGACUCCUACGGGAGGCAGCAGUGGGGAAUAUUGCACAAUGGGCGCAAGCCUGAUGCAGCAACGCCGCGUGAGGGAUGACGGCCUUCGGGUUGUAAACCUCUUUUGGUAGGGAAGAAGCCUUCGGGUGACGGUACCUGCAGAAAAAGCGCCGGCUAACUACGUGCCAGCAGCCGCGGUAAUACGUAGGGCGCAAGCGUUAUCCGGAAUUAUUGGGCGUAAAGAGCUCGUAGGCGGUCUGUCGCGUCUGCUGUGAAAUUCCGAGGCUCAACCUCGGGCUUGCAGUGGGUACGGGCAGACUAGAGUGCGGUAGGGGAGAUUGGAAUUCCUGGUGUAGCGAGUGGAAUGCGCAGAUAUCAGGAGGAACACCGAUGGCGAAGGCAGAUCUCUGGGCCGUUACUGACGCUGAGGAGCGAAAGGGUGGGGAGCAAACAGGCUUAGAUACCCUGGUAGUCCACCCCGUAAACGGUGGGAACUAGUUGUGGGGUCCUUUCCACGGAUUCCGUGACGUAGCUAACGCAUUAAGUUCCCCGCCUGGGGAGUACGGCCGCAAGGCUAAAACUCAAAGGAAUUGACGGGGACCCGCACAAGCGGCGGAGCAUGCGGAUUAAUUCGAUGCAACGCGAAGAACCUUACCAAGGCUUGACAUACGCCAGAACGGGCCAGAAAUGGUCAACUCUUUGGACACUGGUGAACAGGUGGUGCAUGGUUGUCGUCAGCUCGUGUCGUGAGAUGUUGGGUUAAGUCCCGCAACGAGCGCAACCCUCGUUCUAUGUUGCCAGCACGUUAUGGUGGGAACUCAUGGGAUACUGCCGGGGUCAACUCGGAGGAAGGUGGGGAUGACGUCAAAUCAUCAUGCCCCUUAUGUCUUGGGCUUCACGCAUGCUACAAUGGCCGGUACAAUGGGCUGCGAUACCGCGAGGUGGAGCGAAUCCCAAAAAGCCGGUCCCAGUUCGGAUUGAGGUCUGCAACUCGACCUCACGAAGUCGGAGUCUCUAGUAAUCGCAGAUC